GCCGUACCGCGCAUCCGCUCGCCAGUCCCGGCUCUCCUUUACCGUGAAGCCUGAAGCCAUAGCCGCACCCCGACCACGAAGCCGGCGCCCGAUCCACUCGCUCUGACCUUGAUAGCGCCGUCGGACACCGUCCGUCGACCCCGUCGCCCGUACCUUGACUGAGUCACCGGAAGCAGCCGCCCGACCCCUACCCCGUCGCCCCUACAACAAUGCCGUGCGCCCUCCCUAUCGACCCUGUGCUGCUUCACCCUACCUCGACCUCGCAUCCGGACGUCGUUGCUCUACCUCAGUGAGCUUUUGUAUGCCUUGUGGAUUGUUGCUGUGUUCUGUCUUCCAGUAGCGGCUUUGUCAAGAUGGUUGGUUGCUAAGAUGGUCAAUUGUGGGAAGGCGGUCGACGCCGGCGGCCAAGAAGGCAACAUCGAGUAGCUCCAAGGUCGGGCUGCAAUUCCCCGUUGGCAGGAUCGCCAGAUUCCUCAAGGCCGGCAAGUACGCCGAGCGCUUAGGCACUGGUGCCCGCAUCUACCUCGCCGCCGUUCCACAAGUACCUCGCCGCUGAUGCCGUGGAGCUGGCUGGCAACGCUGCCGAUGCCAGGGACAACAAGAAGACCCAUAUCAUGCACCGCCACAUCCAGCUCGCCGUGCGCAAUGGCGAGGAGCUAUAUAUCUCAGGUUGGUUGUAGGGAACACAAGACAAACAGGAGCAAGUUCGUCCAUGUCGGACCCUUUUCAUUUAUUUAUUUUGCGAAUUCCUUUUCAUUUAUUCGUGAGCAUAUGUAUGCUACUAUUCUUGUCUGAAAUUCCUUUUAUCUUUGCAUGAUCGGAGCCAUGAGGAUUGCUACUCCGUAAGCAGCAGCGUACUCCUAGAUGACAACUUGCCCGAAUGAGCUGAUGAUGGUUUCUUGGAAAUAUAUAGACCUAUAUGAUUUAUUGUUGGGACAGGAGGGGGCCAACAUCCAGCAAGAUAUGGUGCUGCAAAAUGAAUGUGGGGUUUGUCUAGCUAAUCAGGUUGGUGUGGUGCAGUACCCUCUGCUGUUCAUAUCUUCUUUUUUUGUUGCAAUUCUGACGUCCUGAUUCAGUUGCUUAGUUGUGAUAGAUUUCCAUUCACUUGGUCUAUAGAUAUCCAGAAACCUGUGAUGAAACAUGUUGCUUGAAUUGUCAACUCCAUCGCUGGCUAUAUAUUAGACUUACUACACUUUUUGCAUUAUCUUCUUCGGUGAAAAUUUGUUAUAUGCUAGGAAACAAGCUGCUUCAAAUAAACAGACCUAAAUACAUUCUUAGUCCAAUAGUUAAUUAGUAUAACUAUGGCACCACCUAGCUUGCUAUUUUUGACCUUCAAGCCAUCCAUUAGUCCUAUGUCGCUGCCCCAAUGCACUUGCUUCUUUGUACUGUAUUUUGCUUACCAUCCUAUCAAUUGUUUUGGACAAUAUCUCUAGAUGUGUGGUUCAUCUACUUACUGCAUGAGACAUCUUUCCAUAUUUAUCUGAACCAUGUAGGUCACACCAAAGAUGUAUUCUGACACAUCCAUCUUAAUCAGCACUAUGUCUAUCUGGCUCUAGCUUGUUGUCUAUGUCAGGUUUGACUUUAAUAUCCUUAAUGAUAAAACCCUUAGUUGAUUCAUCCACGUUUUAUAUUAUUUAUUUAGUAGUAUGAAAUUUUGAUGAAAGUAAGCGUAUUUACAUAGUACAUGUAUGUGUAAUCAGUUUCCUGUCAUUUUCAAUACUCGCUUCACCUGUCAAGAGGGGGGAAAAGAUUAUCUAUCUUCACUGACAUCCAUGGUCCUCGAGUGUGUUCUUAUUUCAUUGUUACUUGUUAUGUUUGUUGAAUAUCAAUGCAUUUUGUUCUCAGAAUCAAGUUUGACCUCUUUCCUGCUCAUGUGUAGUUUAGGGGGGAAAAUAGGUCUUGCAAAAAAAAACAUGCUUGAGAUCUCAAUAGUAUAAGAUUCUUUUUUACUGUGUUUGUGCUAAAAACAUGCUCUAAUCAUUUCGGAGGCUGUGCAACAGAGGACCUGCUUUCAGAGAGUAUCAUGUAUGCAAAGCCAGUAGAUUAUGAAGAUUUACUUGCAUCCUUACAGUAGCUAUUACAUUUUUUGUUUAUUCAUCCCUAUAGUUGGGUGCAAAACUGCAAGUAUGCCAGCUGCCUGUCGAUGUUUAAGGUUAUUGUUGCCAUUCGUUCACCGAGUCACCGAGUGAAAGAUCUGUUGCUCUGUUAUUUCAAAAGAAAACAGAAAACUUUCGUGAUACA